GGAUGUUUGCAGGUGGUAACUGGGUGGAGCUGAGGGAUUUUAUGCUGCUGGCCUGAGGAAUAGUGUCAGCGCUUGUGUGUGAACUGGGAGGAAACAUGAAGAGGAUGAAAGGUCCAUACAGGAAAAGCCAGAGUCUCUCAGACUACAAAGGAAUCUGGAAGGAUUUGAUAGCUGAGGCUUUUCUUGUCGCAAGAACAAAGGAUCACACUGACAAUGGAAAAGAGCCCUAAAGUGGAGCAGAGCACAUCCCAUGUGAGUGGCAUUGCCAGGGAUACUUCUGGCCAUGGCAAUGCGAAAGGAAGGAGUGGGGAGCUCCCAAGGCACAGCAAACUGCACAAAGUUUGUGUUGGUUUGGGUAAGUGGGUUUGAGAAAUGCUGAGCCCUCAGAAAGAAGAAAAAGCAAAGUUGCUUAUAGUGGGCUGAAGUGAAGCUUUGCUUAAGAAGACGAAGGCCCAGAGCUUUCUCUGAAGUUACAUGAACACAAAGUUUGGAUGAGUGAAGCCAAUUGCCUCCGUUGCUUGGUGCAUAUUAUGGAUGUUCUGCAAGGCAAUGUGAGAUUUGACUUCCAGAGGUCCUGAUGAUUCAAAUGUGUUCUGGCUUCAUCCUCUUCAAUAAAAACCUCAUGGAAGAGGUUGGGAAGGAGCCCAUCCAAUCUCAGGAUUUCUGUCAGCACGUCAUGAUUGUGAAAGAAAAUCUAAGUGUGGAAAUGUUCCAUGCCAUCAGUUGGAGGAUGCUCUUAGGGAUGGCAGGAGCUCCUUUUGCUCCCAUCUCCUGCCUUGCUCUCUCCAUCACCUCUUUCCUCAGCUUUCAGAGGCUGGGUUCAGCUGGUGCAGAGCAGGAUCUUGGGGUGGCCGCUCUCCUCCCUAUCCCUGCGUCAUCAUCUCGGUGCGUCUUCAGUCAGCUGAAGCCUUUUUAAUAGAUGUGGCUGAAUUAUUCAUCACGCACAAAUUAGCUGAUGGGCACUGUCCUUCUGCGAGUGUUUACCAUGCUAUUCCUUUUCACAUGGGCCAUUAACUGGUUAGAGAUUUUGGCCAGACCUUGGCAGUUUCCAGCUACUUGCUCAGGCUGUUUUUCCAAGGCAGGGGUUGGUCAUGGUGGUCUGUUUGGGAAGUUUUCUUUGUCCUGUGGGGCUGUUUUUGCUCUCAGUGGCUUAAUGGCAUAUAGCAAGAGCUGUCCUUGCAGGUUUCAAGCAGGAAUAGGCACUGCAGAUUGAAGGAUUUCUUGCUUUUUCCUUCUGAGAAUAAAGUGUUGCAAACGUCCAGGGAGUAGCUGUGGGGACAGGAACUUUAACUGCAUGUGGCCCCGUUCAGGACCUUGGCUGUGCUCUUGGGGCUUCUUAUGCAUUGCUGGUGUGAAACAGAAACUCGUUAAUUCCAUAGCUCUGAAUGUGUCAGCUUCAGACAGCCAAUAGGGAAAUCUUGAAAGAAUCCUGUGCACAUCUUUGCUCUUUCUUAUCCCUAAAUAUUCAAAAUUCUCUUGGAAAAUGUAGUUCCCAGGCAACGUUGUCAUUGCCCCCUUCCAUCCCUUCAAGUUCUCUCCCCUGAUUUUCCCCACGUGGGGGACCUGGGGACUCUGCCCACCUGUCUGCAGUUCCUCCCAUCCUCCUGUGCCAUGGGGGUUUGGAGGUGUCCUUGCAAAACCUCCCCAAAGGCUGCUGUUGAACUUGUAUCUGUGUGGCAGAAUAGUUGCUAAUGCCUGCUGUAAAGGUGCUCUAGUUUGGGGCUUUUGCUGAUAUCACAGAAUCACUGUUUGCAGGAGCUGCUGAGCACCCACUGCUCCCGUGGUGCUUUGCAGGGCUCAGUUCCCAGCAUGCAUGCACAGAGCUGCUUCCAGCCUCAGCAUCUCCUCCUCUCCCUCUGCCAAGAAGCUCUCGGGUUAAUUUUUCUGCCUUUUUUUUGUUGGUGGUGUUUUAUUUCCACUAAAUUAGCUUGUUGUUGCACCGCUCGUACUUGCUAAAGGUCACAAAAUAAAUACUGUGCCACUGUCUCAUGUAUUAAAGCUGCUUCCUGCAUUAGCUUCUCAUGUGUUUUCAGACCAUUAGAACUGUCUCCUUGCUCUUUGUUUUUGGUGAUCAAAGCAUCAUUUACGCAGUAACCACAUGCAGAAUGUGCUUCAUCUUCCCCAGCAGUUCCUGUGAUGCUGUUCCUGAAGAACAUUUCCUUCUCUCCAAUUUCUCAGAUGGAUCAGCUUAGGAGAGAAAUGGUUAAAUGUUUUAUAAGAGGGGGGUAAAUAGUAAAAUGGGCCUUAUUUGUUCUGUAAUGGGACUCCUGGUACCAAGGCGAACAGUUACUGUCAGUGAGCCCAGCAAAUAGAAAAUUGUCUUAUACACUGUUCUAGAAGGCUGAAAGGUCAUAAAAAGGAUUUAGCACUAUCGCAGGAGACAACUUUGUUUAAACAGUGUCAUUAGUCUCUUCGUAGCUCUUUUUAUAGUGCUUUCUGCUGUGUUUUGUUGCUCUCUCUCUCUUUUUUUUUUUUCUCUCCCUUUCCUUUUUCAGUGUGGAAGGCGAUGCAACCUCUUUAAAGCCACCUGGUGCUGAGGUGGGCUGAGUCCUGCAUGAAGUGGGGUGUUGGGGGGAGAGGGACAGGGAAAAUGGGUUGUAAGGAAGUGGAGGUGAUGGGAUGGAGACUGGGGAAUGGCCCUCAGACUUUGUGUUGUGUGCUUCAGAGGUAAAAAUCCCCAGGUUUGUGAGGGAGAGGCCAUUCUGGUGCUUGCAUCUCAUGUGAGCUUGGACAGGCAGAGAUCAUUGGGGUCACAUGCAUUUUCCUCAUCUAUAGUAGCAAGAAUGGUGCUACAAGGGGCGGGAAGCACAGGGAUGGCUAAAGAGAACUCAACUAUGUGAAGGCAAUUUAGGUUUGAAGCAGACUUCGGUGUAGGAAAUGGGAGAGCCUGAAAGGGCAGGAGAUGGCCAACAAAAAAUCUGUUGGCAAAGCCGUCUCAUAGAUAUGUCAUUCAGGAGUGGUUCCUAUAACCAAAG
rnacentral:lncRNA from 7 species